rnacentral:tRNA from 1 species
GGGGCGGUAGCUCAGCCGGGAGAGCGCUGCGUUCGCAAUGCAGAGGUCGAGGGUUCGAUCCCCUUCCGCUCCACCA